rnacentral:rRNA from 1 species
UACGGAGGGUGCAAGCGUUGUCCGGAAUCACUGGGCGUAAAGGGCGCGUAGGCGGCUCAUGAAGGCUGUGGUGAAAGUCCGGGGCUCAACCCCGAGUCGGCCGUGCGAACUGCUGGGCUGGAGCACUGUAGAGGCAGGCGGAAUUCCGGGUGUAGCGGUGGAAUGCGUAGAGAUCCGGAAGAACACCGGUGGCGAAGGCGGCCUGCUGGGCAGUUGCUGACACUGAGGCGCGACAGCGUGGGGAGCAAACAGG